UUCGAGUAUUUUCAAGAGCUUGGGGGUUGCAGGUGUUACAUGUUUAUCUGAAGAUGAAGUUAACUAGAUCACGAGGUAAGGAAGGGCAGCUUCAACUUCAGAUGGUAGCUCUUAAGUAGUAUGCAAAGCCCUUAUCCACAUAGAUAGCCAAGUCUGUAGGAAAUACUGCUUGCUCUACGCUGAACUAAGUCUCCCCAAAAUCCAUACAGUGAAGCCCCCACUACCUCGGAAUGGGACUGUAUCUGAGAUAGGGCCCUUACAAAGGUAAUUCAGUUUCAGUGAGGCCAUCAGGGUAGGUCCUAAUUCAAUCUGACGGGUGUCCUUAUAAGAGGAGCUUGUAACACAGACUCAGAGGACACGGCAGGAGGAGACGGCUGCAAACCAAGGCGAGGCCUGGGGGAAACCAACCCUGUCGAAGCCGUCCUCUCGGGCUUCCAGCUCCUCGGACAGUGAGGAAAUCUGUCUCUACUGUGUAAGCCCCCCGGACAGAGGGCUUUGCUGUGGCAUCCAGCCCUGACUAGUGCACUGCCCUGGUGGAUUUUCUGCAUGUUCCUGAUACAGCUGACAGACAAGUGGAUGAUGACAGGGCUUUUUCAUUAUGGAGUCUCAUGAGAUGCUGCGGGCACAGCACACAGGACACUCUCCAUCAGCAUUAGGGACCGGCACAACCAUCGCAAUGACAACCCUUCUCUUACUGCUCACGGGAGAACGCAUGACCCAAGGUCCAAGGUCCAAGGCCUGUGCUGGGCAAGUUAUAAAUCAAAUCCACAGAUCUUCACUGGGCUCCUACAAUACCAUACCAGCACCAGGCUCCUGCAGUGCGUGGUGGUCAGCAGCACCCAGCAGCCAGCAGCUUCCUCCAACCUCUUCAAGCAGU
rnacentral:lncRNA from 1 species